rnacentral:rRNA from 1 species
UACAGAGGGUGCGAGCGUUAAUCGGAAUUACUGGGCGUAAAGCGCGCGCAGGCGGCCAUUCAAGUCGGGGGUGAAAUCCCAGAGCUCAACUCUGGAAUUGCCUUCGAGACUGAUUGGCUUCGAGUACGGGAGAGGUGAGUGGAAUUCCCAGUGUAGAGGUGAAAUUCGUAGAUAUUGGGAAGAACACCGGUGGCGAAGGCGGCUCACUGGCCCGUUACUGACGCUCAGGCGCGACAGCGUGGGGAUCAAACAGGAUUAGAUACCCUGGUAGUCCACGCCGUAAACGAUGGACGCUAGCCGUUGGCAAGCUUGCUUGUCAGUGGCGCAGCUAACGCAUUAAGCGUCCCGCCUGGGGAGUACGGCCGCAAGGUUGAA